rnacentral:rRNA from 1 species
UACGUAGGCAGCAAGCGUUGUUCGGAAUUACUGGGCGUAAAGAGUGUGUAGGCGGUGCUCCAAGUCUGGUGUGAAAUCUCCCGGCUUAACUGGGAGGGUGCAUUAGAAACUGGAAUGCUAGAGGAUGGGAGAGGUAAGCGGAAUUCCUGGUGUAGCGGUGAAAUGCGUAGAUAUCAGGAGGAACACCGAUGGCGAAGGCAGGUCUCUGGGCCGAUACUGACGCUGAGGAGCGAAAGCGUGGGGAGCGAACAGG